rnacentral:rRNA from 1 species
GCUUAACGCGAAGAACCUUACCAGGGUUUGACAUCCUACGACCGCUCCUUAAUAGGAGUUUUCCCGCAAGGGACGUAGAGACAGGUGCUGCAUGGCUGUCGUCAGCUCGUGUCGUGAGAUGUUGGGUUAAGUCCCGCAACAAGCGCAACCCUCGCCUUUAGUUGCCAUCAUUCAGUUGGGCACUCUAGAGGGACCGCCGGCGACAAGCCGGAGGAAGGUGGGGAUGACGUCAAGUCCUCAUGGCCCUUACACCCUGGGCUACACACGUGCUACAAUGGCGGUGACAGUGGGCAGCUACUCAGCGAUGAGCGGCUAAUCCCAGAAAACCGCCCCAGUUCAGAUUGCACUCUGCAACUCGAGUGCAUGAAGGUGGAAUCGCUAGUAAUCGCAGAACAGCAGGCUGCGGUGAAUACGUUCCCGGGUCUUGUACACACCG